GAGCGCAGACAGCCAAGUCGCAAAUUGGAACGCAAGCGAACAACGUCGCGCUCUGCCUCAAUAUCGUCAAACAGUGUGACCAGAGUUAAAGUCUACAAGAGCCUCAGGCAAAGAGAGAGAGAGAGAGAGAGAGCGAGCGAGCGAGAGCGAGGAGAGUUGGCUAGUGUCUCAGGGCAGUUGCUCAGUCUUACCUUGUAUACUGUUUGUGUUGUUGCUGUUGUUGCUGCUGCUGCUGCUAUUGUUGGUGGCGCGUUUUUUGUGUACGUUGCUUUUGGUUACCUGUCGUGUUGGCCACGUUUGUGACGAUCCGAUCAGUGCACCGUCAGCGAGCGGCGUGCGCAGUUUGGGGCUUCAGCAAACAGUCGCACAGUCACCGUCAACAACAACAACAACAUCAGCUAUCGCAGGGAGAGAGAGCUAGAGAGAGAGAGCAAUAGAUAGCACAGCAAAGUGUUAGAUAAACUGAUAAUACAAUAGAAAAUUAGAAAAAGUCACAGAAACGUGGCGUACAAAAUUUACAAAAAAAAAGAACUGAACAAAAAAGGAAAAAUAAAAAACUUAAAAAACAAAAACAAUAAUAAAUAACUGCAAAGCAACAACAAUUAAGAAAAAAAAAAAAUAAGCAACGUCAACGGCGAAACGGCGCAGUGUCAAUAAAACUCUCGAAUUCAUUAACACGACACAAAACGUUCUAUUAGUAAGCACUUGCAAAUUUGACGAAAUGAAAUGGAGACGGCGACUCGAGCAAGCCGAGACAAGCUACAAAUUAGCGUGGAGAGACCCUAUCGAAUCGCCAAAGAGGAGCAACACAACAAUCGAACAGCGGUUGAAAGGUCUAAGCUAUCAAAUAGUGAAACAGACACACAGACAGAUAUCAUAAAAGUCAGACGCGGACACAAAAAACUGAAUGCUCAAGUUUCGAGUCAUAAAAUCGCUGCGAUCAUAUCCUUGGCCUCUAAAGUUCAGGUUUAAACGAUGCAGCAGGUUUCGCUGCUCAGCAAUGCGUUGGUGUAGCCCUACAGGUUGAUAAGAAUGAAAUGUGCCUGAAUCGAAGCUGACUGCAUCCUGAACUUGUCAAUCAUGGAACUGAUCUGCAUAUUGGCUGCAAGGCUAGCGCACGCUUCCUGUUGGGUAAGCUGAUACUCAGCAGCGACUUGAGGCAGCUAAGGCUGGUAGACCAGAUUGAUGUUUAGUCAGAGAGAGAGAGAGAGAGAGAGAGAAAGAGAGAGAGAGAGAGAGAGCGCAACAAUGCCAACUCUUUGACAGAGAUAGACACAUACAUAAACUCAUCUAGUCGACCCCGUCAGUGUAUAGACCUGACCUCUGCUAGCUGCCAAGACUAAUUUAUCAAAUGGUUCAAGGGUGGCCUAUCAAAGCCACACGAGCUGUUGCAUAAUUAGGGGGGAAACCACAGAAAACAGAAACUGAAAAAAAAAAAAAAAAACAAAACACAAAUGCGUUUUUAAACCAUUGAGCAACGCCUCUUUCUAACAGUUUUCUGUUAUUAGUUUGGGUUUCCAUUCGCUUUUUCCUUUCAGAAAUUUGUGUUUGAUUUUUGUUAAUUGCCGCUUAUUAUUCUUGGAGCCAUUUGGCCAUGUUGGCGAGUGGGUUUAAUGGUCUCAUACAAAACUAAAAUUCUAAUUAACAAAAUAUUUAAGAAAACGAAUAAAACAAAAACAGUUUGUGAAAACCAGAAAACCAGAAAAAAAAAGGAAACUAUUUUGGGCAUUGUAAGAACGUCAAAGCAAUUAAUCAUAAAAAGAAACAGAAACAGAGUUUGUGAGGAAUCUUUACUUUGUUGAGCUAACAAAGCCUAUGCUUUGUGUUUCUCUUUUAGGAAUGCUCAUAGUGCCAAGUCGUAGAAUAUCAGCCAAGUUAACGUAAACGUUAACGCUAACGUUUACCUGCAGUUGAAUAAGCAGUUGGAUCAGUUUUCGACAGAUAAAUUAAGUAAUAAAUCAUUUUGUUUGCAGAGCUAUCAAAGGAACCGCUCAAAAUCAUUCGAAAUUAAUUAAUACUCAUAAUAAAACUUUAAUGGAACCAAAGACAGGCGACAAAACUAAAAAAUAAUAGUUAAGAGUCUUCUAGAUCUAGAAGGAGAUAGUUAGAGAAGGAAAUGAGAGAGUGACGUAUAAAGAGAGCGAGAGAGAGAGAGAGAGAGAGAGCGAGAGAGAGAGAGAAAGAGAGAGAGAUAGAGACAGAGGCUGUACGAGCUAUAUUUAUCUUUUUCAACUGAAAUGCUAACAAGUCUAGAGUCGAAAGUGGCGUCGUGGCCGGGGCAAGCUAUCGCAUGUGAUUGAAAUGAAAUAUAAAAUUACAUUAAAUUACCGGAUGUAAUUGCGGUGGUCGUGCCAGUCGCUCACAGCCCGCUCAGUAGCUGGCUCAGAGCUAGCCUCUUACGCUGCCCAAUGAAUCAUGGCCAAAACAAAAUGCGUCGCAAUUGUUGCCAGAGCCAGAGCCAGAGCCAGCCAGUCAGUCAGCCAGUCAGCCAGUCAGGCAAAUGGACUCAAGCAACGAACUUGAAGCACUUGGUGUGGGCGCACGCUCUCAUGACCAAAAACAAGAAGUAAACAACAACAACAACAACAACAACAAUCGAAACAUAAAGGCAGGCAGCCCACGCUACAUUCAAGACGAAAAAUUGUAAAUGAGGAUCGGGUCCAAGUCAAUGACUCGUUUCGAGUAUCUUAUCAGAGGCAAACGAUUUUGUCAAAUGACAACUGCGGCACAUUAAAUGCGUCUUUUUCACGCCACACGACAUUUUCAAUGUGCAUUUAGUUGUCAAUUAUUUUUGAUAGGCUGCCGAGUGCGCAUGCCAUGAUAAGAGCUCAUGCGAGCCCGGCUUACGGCCCAGCUCGUGCACUCGCUGCGAUCUGGCUCUGUGCUGAGUGCAGGCCAUUUGCAUAUGGAGCGCUUGUUCGCCUCGGUCUUCAGCCUCAGAUAUGGCAAAAGAGUUUUUAUUUAGCUGUGCGUUCUCGCAUUAGGACGUUUCGGUUUUGUUAGCAACUUUCCAUAUAGCAAGCAGGCAGCUGGCAUAACUGUUUCUGGACAAUGUCACAAAUCAUAGAUAUAUUGUUGUUGUUUUCGGCUAACGUACGCGUAAUUUAUGGUUUUGAAUGAGCUCAACGUGUUUGUGGCAGAAGAUUUUGGCUAAAAGAUUCGUCACGAAUUCGCAAUUGUUUAGCUAUUGUUUUCCAUGAUAAAAAUGAAUUUAAUUGAAGAAUUCAACAAAAUAAACAAGAUUAAAGCUCUCUUAAUGAGUUUUUGUGUCGGACAGACUGGCGAACUGAUAGCAAUGAGAAGGAUCCAUAACAAUAUAAAUGAGAGAUAUUGCAUUGAUUGGCGUACCUUAAUGUAUGGAGUAACACAUUUCUGAUGGUUCUUCAGUUUCUAAACAAUCUGCUUCGGGGCUUUAGCUUCAGAUCUAAAACUCAUAAUAAUUGCUGAAAGCUACAUAGUUAUAUAUGAUUUAAUUACUUCAAAUAAAUUCAGAUCAUAGCUGAAAAUCAUUUUUGAAACUACUUUAUAAGUCUCUUGCCUAGCAGCUGACCAAUAUGAAAUACUGAGUACUGAGUAUUUCUCGCAAUUUCGUUGAAAAUAAUUUGCGCAAAAAAAAAAAAAAAUAAAUAAAGAAUUGGGAAAAAA